AGUUUUCUAUGUUGACUCCAAGUGAUUAAAGUGAGUGCCGCUAGCAAUGUAUGGACUUAUUAAAUGCGUGUUAUCUGCGUUUCUUGUGCCAUGUGGAUUUCAAGAACAAAGAAAGAGGGACGUCAACGCCGUCCGUUUAAAGAAAGGGACAUAGCGCAUUAAAUUAAUGCGUUAUACCUAUUUUUGUCUCUCCUUUGGAGUUCUUUGGUUUGAGUUUUCUAUGUUGACUUUAAGUGAUUAAAUGCGUGUUAUCUGCGUUUCCUGUGCCAUGUGGAUUUCAAGAAUAAAGAAAGAGGGACGUCAACGCCGUCCGUUUAAAGAAAGGGACAUAGCGCAUUAAAUUAAUGUGUUAUACCUAUUUUUGUCUUUCCUUUUUUUUCCGCCAUAGUUUGGUCGCUUGAGUCUAAUUGUACAGUAUUUGGAUUCCGGCCUCGUGUGCCUCAUGGCCCUCAUCCUUUGGAGUUCUUUGGUUUGAGUUUUCUAUGUUGACUCCAAGUGAUUAAAGUGAGUGCCGCUAGCAAUGUAUGGACUUAUUUACUGGAAAAUCUUAGAAGUAUAUAGAUGUCCAUGUUUAGGCUACAUAUCAGCUAACAUACUCCUAUUCCGGAGCCUCUGGUGUGGAUCUAUAUUUGAUGCUAUAAGGAAAGCUCUGUUUUGAUUUCAAUGUGUUCUUAAUUACUUCAUGUAGUUUCUUUGCUUGAUGUGUAGAUAUGAAGCAAAAUCUGGCAGUGCAUGCCAAAAUGCAUUUUGUUCCAAAAUUGAACAUAUGAAAUAGACACCAUUUAGAUCUUACUUGCUAUCUUUGCUUUUCUGUGCAUAUUUCGGCCCCAGAUUCGUGUGAAGUAUUGGUAGCAACGCGGUAUUUCCUUUCUACUUGUGAAGCAAUAUGUUGUCGUGGCCGAUGGGAAGGGCUCAACUUGGCUGUGGCUCUGUCGCUCUGAUCAGCAAGCUGAUAAUUGUAAAAAGAUUUGGGAAGUUGUGAGUGGUGGAAACGAGCAGCUCUUAGCAAUGGAGAUUGGGCAUUAGAAGAAAACAUUGAGAUAACAGGCAAUUGGGGCCGUCCUCUUCAUAUUAUUUUUGUGUCUGUCUGUGUGUGUACAAGUAAGUGGGAGCCUGCUGCAAAAUGUGUGGAAGAAUACACUUUAUUUUUUUCAAUUCCUCAUGAACUUGAAACCAACCAGUUGGGAUUAAAAUUUGAUUAAUUAUUACAUUUACAUUAGAUAUGGAGUUUGCUAGGCAUGUUCUUAGUCUUGUUAUAUACUUGUAUGGCAAUGUAAAUAAAUGAGAGACUUCAAGAAAUUUCUAGUCCUAAAAGAUAAAUUAUACUCAUUCAAUAUUGAAAUGAGUAGGUUCCUAUAUUGCAAAAUCGUUACGAAGGAUUGAAACAGUGAAUAUUUACUAGUU
rnacentral:lncRNA from 1 species